GAGCUAGCGUUGUUCGGAAUUACUGGGCGUAAAGCGCACGUAGGCGGCUUUGUAAGUUAGAGGUGAAAGCCCGGGGCUCAACUCCGGAACUGCCUUUAAGACUGCAUCGCUAGAAUUGUGGAGAGGUAAGUGGAAUUCCGAGUGUAGAGGUGAAAUUCGUAGAUAUUCGGAAGAACACCAGUGGCGAAGGCGACUUACUGGACACAUAUUGACGCUGAGGUGCGAAAGCGUGGGGAGCAAACAGG
rnacentral:rRNA from 1 species